AUUGAACGCUGGAGGCAUGCCUUACACAUGCAAGUCGAACGGUAACAGGUCUUCGGAUGCUGACGAGUGGCGAACGGGUGAGUAAUACAUCGGAACGUGCCUAGUAGUGGGGGAUAACUACUCGAAAGAGUGGCUAAUACCGCAUGAGAUCUACGGACGAAAGCAGGGGAUCGCAAGACCUUGUGCUACUAGAGCGGCGGAUGGCAGAUUAGGUAGUUGGUGGGAUAAAAGCUUACCAAGACGACGACCUGUAGCUGGUCUGAGAGGACGAUCAGCCACACUGGGACUGAGAAACGGCCCAGACUCCUACGGGAGGCAGCAGUGGGGAAUUUUGGACAAUGGGCGCAAGCCUGAUCCAGCAAUGCCGCGUGCAGGAUGAAGGCCUUCGGGUUGUAAACUGCUUUUGUACGGAACGAAAAGCCCCGGGUUAAUACCCUGGGGUCAUGACGGUACCGUAAGAAUAAGCACCGGCUAACUACGUGCCAGCCGCCGCAGUAA
rnacentral:rRNA from 1 species